GGACUGGCCAUCUCUUGGAUUUAUGUAAGCAUCUUGCAUGUAUUUAACACAAUUGCCUCAUCUUUUAAAGAUAAAUGUAACUAUAUAGUGUAAAAACUACAUGAUAUGCAGAAAGGGUGUAUUAAAUUGUUCAUAUCAUGUUCAGGUGAAGUAAGUCAAUAAGAUAGCAACGUUAAAUCUCGUGAAACCACGCGUGAUUUUGUCUCGCGGGCUUUGGAUCGUGGUUUAAAAAAUGCAUCCAUCUCAGUCAAGUCGAGCAGUCAACUCUACGUUUUUGAGAUGACCUCUAUUCUGCAUUUCACCAGGAGUCAGCUAAUGGAUUGUGGGUUCAAGGUGUUAUGAUAAAAUGCAGCAUUCCAGUGCAUCCCAACCAUGCCUUUACAGUCAAGGUUUCUGACGGAGCUGAGUUUCUCUCUGACAGUCUGCUGAAAGUGUUUGCAAAGUGAUCGGGGGAACAGGGCACAAAGCUAAAGGAUGUAGCUGCCAUGAUGACAGUGACCCAGGUGAUUGAUAUAUGCUUUUUUUUUUCUUUUUUUCUUCUUUUUUUUUUUCUUUUUCUGCUCAUUCUGUUGGUUUUUGCCCUUCUCCCCCGUCCCUCUUCUCAGCUGUUUCUCUUUCCCUCUUUCUUUCUCCCCUUCUUUCCCCCAGUCAAGUCUGUCCCAUAUUCAGUAAGUGAAAAUAAAAUAAACAAUAAAAGGUGAAUCAAAUGGACCAUUAUGGCAAGGCUGGGAUGGUCAAUUUGGUAAAGUAAAUCCGUUGGGCAUCUUUCUUUGCCUUUAGACAACAAUUCUGAUGGCAAAAGAGCCAAACGGGACAGGCCAAAAAAAAAAAAAUAUAUAUAUAUGUUCUGGAAACUAUAUAUCCAUAAAGUUGAUGUCAAACAGGAACUUUUGAUAUUGCUUUGUAGAUGCUGGUGUUGCAUGUUGACUGGUUUAAAAAGUCAAGAGUUUUUGUCUGGGAUCAUUUUCUUCUGUGCUACUGAAAAGUUCACAAAUCUCUGUUUUCUUUGUUAUAAUACUUUAGGAUGACAUUAAUGCUCAAAGGGAGUCUCAUCAAAGUGCUCCGCAUCUGUGUGAAAGACAAUUGCAGGAGUUCAUGGACUUGACUGAGGCCACUGCACAGAUUGAGAAAACCACAAAGAACAUCUGUCUCCAGAGGAUGCGGCAGGCAAUGACUUUUCUGAUGUUGGCAUCAUCAUCGAGGGUAUAGUAGUUCUUCAAGAUCUGGAUAACGUGACCUUUGCAGUAGCCAUGCUGUUUGGACCUUUUUUAUUCCUUCAAUAUGAGUUACCCAUCACAGCUCUGCUACACUUUUGAGGUGAUUCAAAGGGUGGUAAUGGAGUUGGAUGCAACUCAGCUCUCAAGAAAAGCUCACAACUAAGACAAAACUGCUCCUGCAAGGAAAGCUCACUGUUAUGCAUGUGAGGUGACCAGCUCUAGGUGAGAAGACAUUUAAAUCUCACACUUGUUCUGCUGCAUUUUUGAAGCUCAAUUCCAGGAACAGAUCGCAGAGUUCAUUUUUAUAUACUCUGCAACUGCCAUGAGGACAUGGCCGUUUUUUUGUUGUUGUUGUUUGUUUUUCCUUUUGCUCUGUACAGCAUUUUGGCAGCAUUUUUAAAAUUCUCUUUGUAUUUUUUCUUUCUUUUACUAGUGAAGAGAUGUAGCGUGAACAGUUAUACAGUCUAAAUAUCCCAUAUGGGUCGUGUGAAAUGGUGUUUUCAGUUUCAUUCAGUUGAAGUAAAGAACGUUGAAUAUUUCUAAGUGUGCUGUUUUGAACCAAGAUGUCACAGUAUGAUCAGUGCUGUAAUUUUUGACAGUCACUGUAUCAAUGUUAUUUUUGCGUCUCUUGAAUAAAGGUUUUGACCUGCAAGUGCUAAUUUCUUUAGUUAUUGGGGUAAAAUGGGUAAUGUUAAUAGGAAGGUGUUUGCCAAUUCAGUAACCUAAUUUAAUGUUAAUGGAAACUAACAUUAUCUCAAAUUGUUUAGUUAUAAUUGUUGUUUAACUGAAUCUUGAUUUUUGAUCUUGAUUUGUUCUUUCCCAACAUUUUUCAAAAGAAACAGUCUAAUUUCUUUGCUGUGAUUGAUUCCAGAGAACACGGAAGAACUGACAUUAUUUAACUGUUGAUUUAUGUAGAUUCAGUGGAGGAGUAAUGUCAGUUUAAUUCUUUACCUACUGUCAAUGCAGUGAAAUUAGACAUUUUGUUUUGAAAGGUUACUGGUGGAUGCCAGCAACCAUCUUGGAAGAGAACAAUACAAUCUGUUAUAAGGCCUCCAUUUGAAAAUUGUGUAUUUGAUACUAGAAUAUAAUAGCAAAAUGUAAUUUGAAGAUAACAUGUAGUAUUUAAGUGACCAAGUAGUAUUGGGUAAAAGUUAUUGAAUGGUGUUGGGAUAAAGUGA
ensembl:lncRNA